AACGAACGCUGGCGGCAGGCUUAACACAUGCAAGUCGAGCGCCCCGCAAGGGGAGCGGCAGACGGGUGAGUAACGCGUGGGAAUCUACCCAUCCCUACGGAAUAGCUCCGGGAAACUGGAAUUAAUACCGUAUGUGCCCUUCGGGGGAAAGAUUUAUCGGCAAAAGAUCGGCCCGCGUCUGAUUAGCUGGUUGGUGGGGUAAUGGCCUACCAAGGCGACGAUCAAUAGCUGGUCUGAGAGGAUGAUCAGCCACACUGGGACUGAGACACGGCCCAGACUCCUACGGGAGGCAGCAGUGGGGAAUAUUGGACAAUGGGCGCAAGCCUGAUCCAGCCAUGCCGCGUGAGUGAUGAAGGCCUUAGGGUUGUAAAGCUCUUUCGUCAGGGAAGAUAAUGACGGUACCUGAAGAAGAAGCCCCGGCUAACUUCGUGCCAGCCGCCGCCGUAA
rnacentral:rRNA from 1 species